UACGAAGGGGGCUAGCGUUGCUCGGAAUCACUGGGCGUAAAGGGUGCGUAGGCGGGUCUUUAAGUCAGGGGUGAAAUCCUGGAGCUCAACUCCAGAACUGCCUUUGGAUACUGAAGAUCUUGAGUCCGGGAGAGGUGAGUGGAACUGCGAGUGUAGAGGUGAAAUUCGUAGAUAUCGGGAAGAACACCUAUGGCGAAGGCAGCUCUCUGGGACGGUACUGACGCUGAGACGCGAAAGCGUGGGGAGCGAACAGG
rnacentral:rRNA from 1 species